rnacentral:rRNA from 1 species
UACAGAGGUCCCAAGCGUUGUUCGGAUUCACUGGGCGUAAAGGUGCGUAGGUGGUGAGGUAAGUCGGAUGUGAAAUCUCCGAGCUCAACUCGGAAAUGGCAUUGGAAACUACCUUGCUCGAGGGUUGGAGGGGGGACUGGAAUGCUUGGUGUAGCAGUGAAAUGCGUAGAUAUCAAGCGGAACACCAGUGGCGAAGGCGAGUCCCUGGACAACUCCGUGACACUGAGGCACGAAAGCUAGGGGAGCAAACAGG